AGGGCAGGGAGGCACUACACACUGCCUAAGAUUCCCUCCAUGCCUCCCAGCUCCCCCUCUCUAGGAACCCGAAAGCUCUCAGGAUUGUUAAAGAACGGUGUGGUGUGUAAUUAACAUUCCAGGCUGGUGGGUGUGCAGCCUCAGCAUCAAAAGUCUGUUUGGAAGUGGAGGACUCUGGGCGGCUGUCCCUGGCACAGUUUGCUGAUCGUGUCGGCUGGACCCUUUUCAUGCCGUAUAUACCUUCUGCACUCUGAUUCCACAUGCUCUUCACCUGCUUCCCUGACUUUGAAGUAUUUAAAGCAGCUUUGGAAUUCCUUACCAGGAGACUUCUCACGUUCUUUUCUUGGACAUUCGACUUCAAGUUUGCCUCUGGCCUUUACCCGUGAGAAAUAAUUAAUGAUAAAAUGUAAACACAUGAAUAGAUGA